rnacentral:rRNA from 1 species
GACAGAGGCCUCGAGCGUUAGGCGGAAUCACUGGGCUUAAAGCGUGUGUAGGCGGGCCCGUAAGUGUCGUGUGAAAUCCCACGGCUCAACCGUGGAACUGCUGGGCAUACUGCGGGUCUUGGGCCAACUAGGGGCAGCCGGAACAAGCGGUGGAGCGGUGAAAUGCGUAGAUAUCGCUUGGAACGCCGAAGGUGAAAACAGGCUGCUGGGGUUGCGCCGACGCUGAGACACGAAAGCCAGGGGAGCAAACGGG